CACGUAGGCGGAUUAGUCAGUCAGAGGUGAAAUCCCAGGGCUCAACCCUGGAACUGCCUUUGAUACUGCUAGUCUUGAGUUCGAGAGAGGUGAGUGGAAUUCCGAGUGUAGAGGUGAAAUUCGUAGAUACUCGGAGGAACACCAGUGGCGAAGGCGGCUCACUGGCUCGAUACUGACGCUGAGGUGCGAAAGCGUGGGGAGCAAACA
rnacentral:rRNA from 1 species